UCCACUCUGUCGUCCUCGCGUGCACACGGCAGGUGCUCCGCCUCUUACUCUCGUUCGGCCAGAUCCACGGUGCACGGCCUCUCGCGCUCGCUCGCGACCCUGAGCCGUGGCAAGGGUUUCAGGCUGGGCAUCGGCUUCGUCGCCGGCGCGGCUCCGGUGGAUUCAGGCGGCUCCUCUCCGUCUCCUCUCUCGCCCCCACGCGCGGCUCCGCUUCCCGCUGGCCAUGAGAUUGUGGCGAGGUUGAGCGUAUGGAGCAGAGGGACCAGGGCCGGCCGAUGGCUUGUUUCCUCUAUACGUACUUGAUGGUUAGCCCAUGUAGCAGAUCGACUGAUUCUGAGAAAGGAAAAAAAUGGUAACAGAUCGACUAAUUCUUGGCUUGCUGCAUGCGCGUGAUCUUCUCUGGUUUCUCUUCCCCAAUUGGCAACGAACCAGCCAUGCCAAGGUCAACGGCGCCUUGUCCACACCGUCUAAUUGCGAUUUCCGGCUGUUGGGUGUGAUUAGUGCAGGAAGAUCCGUUGCUGCUACAGAACCCAACUCCUGAGCAUGUCGGAGUUGAGCAAGAAGACAGGAGGAGGUGUCGAGGACGAAGAGGCCCCUCUUCCUUUUUGGUCCACGCCGCUACGAAAGUGAUAUUAGGUGAACUUGUUAUACUCUUUCUGGUUCAAUGGAACUUACCUACGCACAUUAGGGGUUUUACUUUAGCUGGUGAGUGUUUGUGAGCGAGAUGGCUGUCGCUUCCGCAUGGAUCCACCUCCUAGCCGUUGACCACUUCAUUGGAAGGCACGUGUAACCUUGAUGGGCAAAUAUGGUGAAGACUUGAAGUUGAUAUACUAAUGUGGUAUAUGAAGCUAUGUUCAAGGGCGUCACACAGGUCGGCUUGCAAUGUUGAGCAGAUCACCAUGUUAAAAGAUGGGCAUUUAGAGAAGUGUGUGCUCGCCAAGGAUCCAAUGGGUUUCUGAAGAGUUGGC